rnacentral:lncRNA from 1 species
UAUAUAUAUUCUCGUUGAAAACAUAGGUAAGUUCAUAGCAGUGUAGAAUCGUGGUGCAGACUUGUGAAAUGAUGUCUUGGUACUGAUAUUUAGUAUUAGUUUUGUACUCAUCAAAUAAAAAGAUCUAAACUAAAACAAAUAUCUUUUUUGAAAUAAAAGUAAAAGAGUUAGUGACAUCUAUUAUUGAUCUCACCAAAUUUACCAAAGUGAAACAUCAAAAAGAUAGAGGGGGAACAAAUGAGAGUUCAACCAUUCAUAUAUAUCUUCUUAUAUGGUCUAUGAAUAAUUGAAGCCAAGCUUCCAGUAAUAUCAUCAUAAUCAUAAAGUUACAACAAUUUGGAAAAUUACUUGGCAACCUUAUCAAUUGAAAAUCUACAUGAAAUGACCAUAGACCAAACUAUAAGCAUGUGCAAAUUGUGAUAAAACUCUAUUGUAUAUUUAGAAAAUUAGAAGAUCUUUGUUCUUUUAUUCGAUGAGUCAAUCUAUCCAUUCUCAUUAGGGGAAUUCCUUUAUCUUAUCAAGAGUCCUAGGGAAAUAAAAAAUAACUUCGAGGUAUUUUUUUCGUUUCUUUAAACUUCUUACAAUUUUAUCAUCCUACACCUCAGGACUCACAUAGCUUUAAAGUUAUUUUCUAUUCAAGCAAUCCAAUUUCCACCAAGGACGAUAAAUUUUAAGUUGUCAUAAUACUAAACAAAGAAUAGCUAAGGAUAUGACUACUUUAAAGGUUAUUAUGGAUAUUGUGGGAAGAACACACAUGAAAAGCAAGCUUUGUAAACAUAAAUUUGGCUAACCAAGUUGGGUCGGUGAUCCUAGUUUUAGCAUCUUGCCUGAACUUGCAUAUUUUGUCACUGCUACUUCCCUUUCUUGUCAAUCAUAGUUGAAGAGGUCAUAUUCCUUUUGUUUCUUUUAGUGGCACUUGUAAUCCAUUGAUUGAAGAUAGAAAAGUAACUGCAGUUUCGGUGACCUCAAGGUUAUGAGCCUUGCGAGCUAUCAGAUUGUUGUACCACAAGCCAAAGAUAAGAACUGAAAACUAAUAGAUAAAAAGAAUUAAAUGUUCCCCUCCACCCUAUCAGUACAAAUAGAAUAAAAGUGAAACAUCAAAAAGAUAGAGGGGAACAAAUGAGAGUUCAACCAUUCAUAUAUAUCUUCUUAUAUGGCCUAUGAAUAGUUCAAGCCAAGCUUCCAGUAAUAUCAUCAUAAUCAUAAAGUUGCAACAAAUUGGGAAAUUACUUGGCAACCUUAUCAAUUGAAAUCUACAUGAAAUGACCAUAGACCAAACUAUAAGCAUGUGCAAAUUGUGAUAAAACUCUAUUGUAUAUUUAGAAAAUUAGAAGAUCUUUGUUCUUUUAUUCGAUGAGUCAAUCUAUCCAUUCUCAUUAGGGGAAUUCCUUUAUCUUAUCAAGAGUCCUAGGGAAAUAAAAAAUAACUUCGAGGUAUUUUUUUCGAUUCUUUAAACCUCUUCAAAUUUUAUCAUCCUACAUCUCAGGACUCAGAUAGCUUUGAAGUUAUUUUCUAUUCAAGCAAUCCAAUUUUCACAAAGGACGAUAAAUUUUAAGUUGUCAUAAUAUUAAACAAAGAAUAGCUAAGGAUAUGACUACAUUAAAGGUCAUUAUGGAUAUUGUGGGAAGAACACACAUGAAAAGCAAGCUUUGUAAACAUAAAUUUGGCUAACCAAGUUGUGUCGGUGAUCCUAGUUUCAGCAUCUUGCCUGAAUAUUUUGUCACUGCUACUUCCCUUUCUUGCAAAUCGUAGUUGAAGAGGUCAUAUUCCUUUUGUUUCUUUUAGUGGCACUUGUAAUCCAUUGAAUUAGGAUGUUACAGAAUUUGAUAAUAUAUUUACUAAGAUCAAUGGAUCAUUCUUCUAACAAUUUGAACAUAACUUUCAUCAAACAUGUUAUGUACAAAGGAAUAUGACUACAAAAUGAGGAUAGAAAAGUAACUGCAGUUUCCGUGAGCUCAAGGUUAUGAGCCUUGCGAGCUAUCAGAUUGAUGUACCACAAGCCAAAGAUAAGAACUGAAAACUAAUAUAUAAAAAGAAUUAAAUGUUCCCCUCCACCUUAUCAGUACAAAUAGAAUAAAAGUGAAACAUCAAAAAGAUAAAGGGGAACAAAUAAGAGUUCAACCAUUCAUAUAUAUCUUCUUAUAUGGCCUAUGAAUAGUUCAAGCCAAGCUUCCAGUAAUAUCAUCAUAAUCAUAAAGUUGCAACAAAUUGGAAAAUUACUUGGCAACCUUGAAAUGACUAUAGACCAAACUAUAAGCAUGUGCAAAUUGUGAUAAAACUCUAUUGUAUAUUUAGAAAAUUAGAAGAUCUUUGUUCUUUUAUUCGAUGAGUCAAUCUAUCCAUUCUCAUUAGGGGAAUUCCUUUAUCUUAUCAAGAGUCCUAAGGAAAUAAAAAAUAACUUUCGAGGUAUUUUUUUCGUUUCUUUAAACCUCUUCAAAUUUUAUCAUCCUACACCUCAGGACACAGAUAGCUUUGAAGUUAUUUUCUAUUCAAGCAAUAAAAUUUCCACAAAGGACGAUAAAUUUUAAGUUGUCAUAAUACGAAACAAAGAAUAGCUAAGGAUAUGACUACAUUAUAGGUUAUUAUGGAUAUUGUGGGAAGAACACACAUGAAAAGCAAGCUUUGUAAACAUAAAUUUGGCUAAAAAAGUUGU